AGUGAACGCUGGCGGUAGGCCUAACACAUGCAAGUCGAACGGCAGCGCGGUAAGAGCUUGCUCUUACGGUGGGCGAGGGGCGGGCGGUAGAGGGAUACAUCGGAAUCUACUUUUGCGAGGGGGAUAACGGCGGUAAACUUACGCCAAUACCUCAUACGACCUACGGGGGAAAGCAGGGGAUCUUCGGACCUUGCGCGAUCGAAUGGGCCGAUGGCGGAUUAGCUAGUUGGCGGGGUAAAGGCCCACCAAGGCGACGAUCCGUAGCUGGUCUGAGAGGAUGAUCAGCCACACUGGAACUGAGACACGGUCCAGACUCCUACGGGAGGCAGCAGUGGGGAAUUUUGGACAAUGGGCGCAAGCCUGAUCCAGCCAUGCCGCGUGGGUGAAGAAGGCCUUCGGGUUGUAAACUCCUUUUGUUGGGAAAGAAACGCAGUAGGUUAAUACCCAGCUGUUCUGACGGUACCGAAAGAAUAAGCACCGGCUAACUUCGUG
rnacentral:rRNA from 1 species